rnacentral:rRNA from 1 species
CAAAGAGGGGGACCUUCGGGCCUCUUCCAUCGGAUGUGCCCAGAUGGGAUUAGCUAGUAGGUGGGGUAACGGCUCACCUAGGGCGACGAUCCCUAGCUGGUCUGAGAGGAUGACCAGCCACACUGGAACUGAGACACGGUCCAGACUCGUACGGGAGCCAGCAGUGGGGCAUAUGGCACAAUGGGAGCAAACCUGAAGCACCCAUCCUACUUGUAUCAUGCAGACCUUCGGGUAGUAAAGUACUUUCACCGGGGAGGAAUGUGAUACGGGUAAUACAUUCAGCUAUUCACGUUGCCCGCAGAAAAAGCGGCGUAAGUCUCCGUACCAGCACCCGCGGUAAUACGGAGGGUGCAAGCGUUAAUCGGAAUUUCUGGGGGUAAAGCCCGCGCUGACGGUCAGUCAAGUCGGAUGUGAAAUAACCGAUCUCAACCUGGGCGAGUCAUUCGAAACUGGCAGUCCAAUGUCUCAUAGAGGGGGGUAGAAUUUCAGGAGAACCAGCGAAAUUCGUAAAGAUCUUGAUAGUCCGCGGUGGAGUAGGCGACUCCCUUCCCAAAAGUUGGAAUUCAGGUUAAUAAGCGUUGGGAAUAACCAGGAGAAUACGUUCUCGUAGUC